UUAAGAGUAUUUUUGAGUGCUUUCGCUAAAGGAUUGGUCUAUGUCCUAUCAGCUUGUUGGUGAGGUAAUGGCUCACCAAGGCUAUGACGGGUAUCCGGCCUGAGAGGGUGAACGGACACACUGGAACUGAGACACGGUCCAGACUCCUACGGGAGGCAGCAGUAGGGAAUAUUGCUCAAUGGGGGAAACCCUGAAGCAGCAACGCCGCGUGGAGGAUGAAGGUUUUAGGAUUGUAAACUCCUUUUGUUAGAGAAGAUUAUGACGGUAUCUAACGAAUAAGCACCGGCUAACUCCGUGCCAGCAGCCGCGGUAAUACGGAGGGUGCAAGCGUUACUCGGAAUCACUGGGCGUAAAGAGCGCGUAGGCGGGAAAGUAAGUCAGAUGUGAAAUGCUAAGGCUUAACCAUAGAACUGCAUUUGAAACUACUUUUCUAGAGUAUGGGAGAGGUAGGUGGAAUUCUUGGUGUAGGGGUAAAAUCCGUAGAGAUCAAGAGGAAUACUCAUUGCGAAGGCGACCUGCUGGAACAUUACUGACGCUUAAGCGCGAAAGCGUGGGGAGCAAACAGGAUUAGAUACCCUGGUAGUCCACGCCCUAAACGAUGAAUGCUAGUUGUUGUGAGGCUUGUCCUUGCAGUAAUGCAGCUAACGCAUUAAGCAUUCCGCCUGGGGAGUACGGUCGCAAGAUUAAAACUCAAAGGAAUAGACGGGGACCCGCACAAGCGGUGGAGCAUGUGGUUUAAUUCGAAGAUACGCGAAGAACCUUACCUAGGCUUGACAUUGAUAGAAUCCGCUAGAGAUAGUGGAGUGCCACUUUGUGGAGCUUGAAAACAGGUGCUGCACGGCUGUCGUCAGCUCGUGUCGUGAGAUGUUGGGUUAAGUCCCGCAACGAGCGCAACCCCCGUAUUUAGUUGCUAGCAGUUUGGCUGAGCACUCUAAAUAGACUGCCUUCGUAAGGAGGAGGAAGGUGGGGACGACGUCAAGUCAUCAUGGCCCUUACGCCUAGGGCUACACACGUGCUACAAUGGGGUGCACAAAGAGUUGCAAUAUCGUAAGAUGGAGCCAAUCUCAAAAACACCUCUCAGUUCGGAUUGUAGUCUGCAACUCGACUACAUGAAGCUGGAAUCGCUAGUAAUCGCAAAUCAGCAAUGUUGCGGUGAAUACGUUCCCGGGUCUUGUACUCACCGCCCGUCACACCAUGGGAGUUGUAUUCGCCUUAAGUCGGGAUACUAAAUUGGUUACCGCCCACGGCGGAUGCAGCGACUGGGGUGAAGUCGUAACAAGGUAACCGUAGGAGAACCUGCGGUUGGAUCACCUCCUU
rnacentral:rRNA from 1 species